CCAUGAGGACGCUUCUGUCCAGGUCUUCUUUUCCACCUUCCUCCCGCUGAAGGUGUGCUAUGGUGUUGACUAGCAGCAGGAAAUGCCCUCGCCUCCUUCCUCCUCCGUCAGUCACGCUGGCGGUGAUGUCACACGUCCAGCUGAUCUAAAACGGAGUCUGAUAAAAGUCAAGAUCAUGUGACACGUUUACCUCGACCAGCCGAACCCUCACAGCUGGAUUUAUAGCGCCGCCUUGGACGUGAUGACUAGGACACUGAUGGAAGAGGUGCAUUCUGGGAGCACACACGCCAAAAUAAAUCACCACAUGCAGAAGUGACGCUCAGUGCUAACAAAUAAAGUCUGUUCAGGCUUCACCAACAACACGACUUCCUGAACAACCAUGGCAACAACCCAUAACAAUUCUACAGUUCACUUAGCAGACGCUUUUAUGCAAAGCGAGUACAUCAGAGAGUAAGUACAACACAAGCAAGGAU